rnacentral:rRNA from 1 species
GAUGAACGCUGGCGGCGUGCCUAGUACAUGCAAGUCGAGCGAACAGACGAGGAGCUUGCUCCUCUGACGUUAGCGGCGGACGGGUGAGUAACACGUGGAUAACCUACCUAUAAGACUGGGAUAACUUCGGGAAACCGGAGCUAAUACCGGAUAAUAUAUUGAACCGCAUGGUUCAAUAGUGAAAGACGGUUUUGCUGUCACUUAUAGAUGGAUCCGCGCCGCAUUAGCUAGUUGGUAAGGUAACGGCUUACCAAGGCAACGAUGCGUAGCCGACCUGAGAGGGUGAUCGGCCACACUGGAACUGAGACACGGUCCAGACUCCUACGGGAGGCAGCAGUAGGGAAUCUUCCGCAAUGGGCGAAAGCCUGACGGAGCAACGCCGCGUGAGUGAUGAAGGUCCUCGGAUCGUAAAACUCUGUUAUUAGGGAAGAACUAAUGUGUAAGUAACUAUGCACGUCUUGACGGUACCUAAUCAGAAAGCCACGGCUAACUACGUG